rnacentral:rRNA from 1 species
GGGRAUCUGGCUUAUGGAGGGGGAUAACCAUUGGAAACGGUGGCUAAUACCGCAUGAUGUCGCAAGACCAAAGUGGGGGACCUUARGGCCUCACGCCAUGAGAUGAACCCAGAUGAGAUUAGCUAGUAGGUGCGGUAAUGGCGUACCUAGGCGACGAUCUCUAGCUGGUCUGAGAGGAUGACCAGCCACACUGGAACUGAGAGACGGUCCAGACUCCUACGGGAGGCAGCAGUGGGGAAUAUUGCACAAUGGGCGGAAGCCUGAUGCAGCCAUGCCGCGUGUGUGAAGAAGGCCUUAGGGUUGUAAAGCACUUUCAGCGGGGAGGAAGGCGGUAAGAGUAAUAUGCUUAUCRAUUGACGUUACCCGCAAAAGAAGCACCGGCUAACUCCGUGCCAGCAGCCGCGGUAAUACGGAGGGUGCGAGCGUUAAUCGGAAUAACUGGGCGUAAAGRGCAUGUAGGCGGUAAGUUAAGUCAGAUGUGAAAUCCCCGAGCUUAACUUGGGAACGGCAUUUGAGACUGGCUGGCUAGAGUUUUGUAGAGGGGGGUAGAAUUCCAGGUGUAGCGGUGAAAUGCGUAGAGAUCUGGAGGAAUACCGGUGGCGAAGGCGGCCCCCUGGACAAGGACUGACGCUGAGGUGCGAAAGCGUGGGUAGCAAACAGGAUUAGAUACCCUGGUAGUCCACGCUGUAAACGAUGUCGAUUUGGAGGUUGUGACCUAGUGUUAUGG